UCGCAGCAGUAGUAUUAGCCACCGCAAUCGUUUUUAGUUAGGCAUUACCAUUAUUUCUGUUGAAAUGUAGGUUUCAGCAUUACAAGUCAGGCUUGAUUAAACAUUAAAUUAGGUUGCUGAAAUAAAUCUCUUCACCUGUCAUGCUGUCUCGAAUGACCUCCUCAUCGAGUUUCUAAUCGAUAUCCGACCUCACUUUUUCUUACCGUUAGCAAGUUAGCUAACGUGUCAAACGUACCCAGCAACCAGGCAUACUGCUCCCGUAAUCAAGUUUCCUGCUGGAGUCGGGCUGUUGAUUCUUGUCUAGCCCAUGAUGACUGGUUGAAAGGACAUUACAAAAUAGGCUACGGUGUUUUGCCCCUGCGGUUGUGAAGAGGAUGCUGUGGAGGUGGCAGCAUGAACGUGUCACACAGACAUUGGCUAAACUACUCGGCUUCUACACUUGCCCUCAGAGUUCACAUAUGGUUAAGUGCACAGGUGGCCAGCCAGGUUCAGACUGAUACUGGUAACAAGAGGAAAACAUGCUGAUUGGAAUGAUUCAACGAUGGACAUUUUGCUUAAUUGUGGAAAAAAUAAAUGGAAAAACGUCUAUGA